CCCAGGGCGGGGCUUGCCCUGGGCUAUGUUCUCACGCCCUUUCAGGGCU
rnacentral:sRNA from 1 species